AUUGGGGUGGCAGAGCUUGGUCAAAUGCAGAAGGCUUAAGCCCUUCACCCGGGGGUUCAACUCCCCUUCCCAAUU
rnacentral:tRNA from 1 species